UCCAAUGUAAAUGCUCAUUUUACCUUCAAUUUUCAUUAUUUUAUAUUUCAUUUUUAAUCUGCAUUGUAACGUCUAAAAGGGCCCUAAUAUGUAGAAUGUAGCAUUUUCUCAAACGUAAAAUAUACGAUGUACGCAGAUUUAAACAGUUUAGCCUACCGUUAUUUAUCAUAUUCUAGUAAUAUAUCGUUUAAAUUUACCUUUAAAAACCCUUAUAUUCAAUGUAUGCCAAUUGUGUAGAGUUUUCAAUACACAUUCCGCCAUUUUUCAAGCAUAUGCAGCAGGCUAUAAUAAUAAUAUAUUUUAGAUGCGACUUAGACGAAAAACAACGUGAACUAUUUGCCAACUGAUUUAGAGCGAAAAUAUUUCGUCUAAAAUUGAUUCUCAAAAUAAAUUGUAUUUACACAACAUUCGGAAUAGACCGGCAAUGUUGCACACCAUAACACAGAUACACAGCGAUACAUACAGUUGAAAGAAACAACUCUAUAUUUAACAUGAAAAGUGUCGUGCAGAAGCUAAUGAUCACCAUGACCACCACGCAGAUAAUACCGUUGAUGAUUGAAAAAUGUAAGAAAUCCAAUUUGGCAGAUAUAAGUGGCCUCUCGUCUGGUUCUCCACUACCGCAGUAGGGCGGAGCUACAGAAAAAUCCAAACCCAUCCGAAUAAUACCAACCAGCAGUCCAAAUGACAUUCCGUAGAAGAUAGCCUCAUCAAAAAGUAAAGAAAAAUGAUAAAGAUUAUCGUUUGCGCUACUUCCGUUAAUGUCAUAUUCAUCUAAUAAACAAUAAAACCACA